rnacentral:rRNA from 1 species
UACGGCGGGUGCAAGCGUUGCUCGGUAUUAUUGGGCGUAAAGCGUAUGUAGGCGGUUUCCUAAGUCUGAUGUGAAAUCCCAGGGCUUAACCCUGGAACUGCAUUGGAUACUGGGAGGCUAGAGGGUGGUAGGGGAUGGUGGAAUUCCUGGUGUAGGGGUGAAAUCCGUAGAUAUCAGGAGGAACAUCUGUGGCGAAGGCGGCCAUCUGGACCACGCCUGACGCUGAGAUACGAAAGCGUGGGGAGCAAACAGG